UUGAUAAGAGUUAUAAGACAUGGAUUUUGCAUGGAGAACAAGUUCUUAAUUGGGGACAAGGACGAGAGUAUUAAUACUUUUGACGAAGAUGAUUACAUGAUGUAAGUGCUUCACCAAAAGGUUGUGUGGAAUGUGGGUAUUAUGUAAUGAGAUUCAUGAGAAAGUUUAAUACUAAGAACCCUUUUACCCAAGAAGAACUCAAUGAGAUAGGAGUUGAGUGAGAGAAGCAUGUGUCGGACUACACUUGAAAGGUUUGUAUGGUGCUACGACAUGUAUUUUUGUUUGGCUUUCUCUCUAACUUUUGGUAUCCCUUAGACAUUUUGUGCAAACUUUGUUUGAUUGUAAAGCUGUUGGAGAGUUUUCAAGAAAUUUUGGUAGAUUAUAGGCAUUUUGUGUAGUUUUGAAAUAAUAUUGUGUAGCAUUAUUUAGUUGUCAAGCUG